rnacentral:rRNA from 1 species
UACGGAGGGUGCGAGCGUUGUCCGGAAUCACUGGGCGUAAAGGGCGCGUAGGCGGCUUCUUAAGCGGGCGGUGAAAGCCCGGGGCUCAACCCCGGGUCGGCCGUGCGAACUGGGAAGCUCGAGCACUGUAGAGGCAGGUGGAAUUCCGGGUGUAGCGGUGGAAUGCGUAGAGAUCCGGAAGAACACCAGUGGCGAAGGCGGUGCUCUGGGCCGAUACUGACGCUGAGGAGCGAAAGCGUGGGGAGCGAACAGG